rnacentral:rRNA from 1 species
UCUAGAGAGCUCUAACCGGCCUUCGAGGACUGAACUCUCGUAUGUGGCAAAAUACGUGAAAGAGUGCCUCGGGGCUAGGGGUGGAGAGAAGAACCAGUGGAAUCAACAAGCAUUACUAGAUUUUAAACCAACUAGCACUAGAAACUCUCCCUUACCUAAGAAAGAAGGGUAACUCAUUCUGAGGAUGUAUCGGGGCUGAAGUUAUUCACCGAAGCGACGAGACAAAGAAAAAGCAAGCCUUUUUCAGUGUCAGUAGCGGGACGUUCUGUCAAUCAGAGAAGGUUUCUGGUAACAAGGCCUGGAGAUAUCAGAAGUGAGAAUGCUGACAUGAGUAACGAAAAAUCAUGUGAAAAACAUGAUCGCCUGCCAGUGUAAGGCUUUCCGCGUUCAGUGAAUCUGCGCAGAGUGAAUCGGUCCCUAAGGAAAGCAAGCAAGCUAGCGCCCGAAAGGCAAUUCCGAUGGGUCCACGAAAGUGACGAAGUUGCUUUGACUAAAGAACCGGGCCUAUUCAUAAUUAAGACAGGUAUAGCAAAUUGGAUGAUGUACUUUCCUAAAUGAACCUUGAGUCAUCAAAGCCUUUCUGACUUGGCUUAAGCAAGCAAGUAAGCAAGUAGGCGUUUAUGCUUCCAGGAAAAAACUUCGAGUUGAGAGGUUGAUCCUCUCGUUGAGCUGACCGUACCCCAAACCGACACAGGUACAUAAGUAGAGUAUACUAGGGCGUUUGGGAGAACCAUGUCGAAGGAACUCGGCAAACUGACCCCGUAACUUCGGGAGAAGGGGUGCUUGAUCUUUCUUUAAGGUGAAGCGGCACAUAUCAGGGGGUAGCGACUGUUUCUUAAAAACACAGGACUCUGCUAAGUCUCACGACUAUGUAUAGAGUCUGACACCUGCCCGGUGCUGGAAGGUGAAAAGGAGAGGUCUCUCAGCCUUGAAUCUAAGCCCCAGUAAACGGCGGCAGUAACUCUAACUGUCCUAAGGUAGCGAAAUUCCUUGUCGGGUAAGUUCCGACCUGCACGAAUGGCGUAACGAUGGCCACACUGUCUCCUCCCGAGACUCAGCGAAGUUGAAGUGUUUGUGAUGAUGCAAUCUCCCCGCGGCUAGACGGAAAGACCCCAUGAACCUUUACUGUAGCUUUGCAUUGGACUUUGAACCGAUCUGUGUAGGAUAGGUGGGAGGCUUUGAAGCGUGGACGCUAGUUCACGUGGAGCCGUCCUUGAAAUACCACCCUGGUUUGUUUGAGGUUCUAACCUUGGCCCGUGAAUCCGGGUCGGGGACAGUGCAUGGUAGGCAGUUUGACUGGGGCGGUCUCCUCCCAAAGUGUAACGGAGGAGUUCGAAGGUACGCUUGGUACGGUCGGACAUCGUACCUAAAGUGCAAUGGCAAAAGCGUGCUUAACUGCGAGACCGACAAGUCGAGCAGGUGCGAAAGCAGGACAUAGUGAUCCGGUGGUUCUGAAUGGAAGGGCCAUCGCUCAACGGAUAAAAGGUACUCUGGGGAUAACAGGCUGAUACCGCCCAAGAGUUCAUAUCGACGGCGGUGUUUGGCACCUCGAUGUCGGCUCAUCUCAUCCUGGGGCUGUAGCCGGUCCCAAGGGUAUGGCUGUUCGCCAUUUAAAGAGGUACGUGAGCUGGGUUUAAAACGUCGUGAGACAGUUUGGUCCCUAUCUGCCGUGGGCGUUGGAAUCUUGACGGGGGCUGCUCCUAGUACGAGAGGACCGGAGUGGACGUACCGCUGGUGUACCUGUUGUCUCGCCAGAGGCAUCGCAGGGUAGCUAUGUACGGAAGAGAUAACCGCUGAAAGCAUCUAAGCGGGAAACUCGCCUGAAGAUGAGGAUUCCCUGGAGGCUUGACCUCCUUGAAGG